rnacentral:rRNA from 1 species
UACGUAGGGGGCAAGCGUUAUCCGGAAUUACUGGGUGUAAAGGGUGAGUAGGCGGUUAGAUAAGUCAUGUGUGAAAGCCCGAAGCUCAACUUCGGGAUUGCACAAGAAACUGUCUGACUAGAGUGCAGGAGAGGUAAGUGGAAUUCCUAGUGUAGCGGUGAAAUGCGUAGAUAUUAGGAGGAACACCAGUGGCGAAGGCGACUUACUGGACUGUAACUGACGCUGAGUCACGAAAGCGUGGGGAGCGAACAGG